AAUGCCUAGGAAUCUGCCUGGUAGUGGGGGAUAACGUUCGGAAACGGACGCUAAUACCGCAUACGUCCUACGGGAGAAAGUGGGGGAUCUUCGGACCUCACGCUAUCAGAUGAGCCUAGGUCGGAUUAGCUAGUUGGUGGGGUAAUGGCUCACCAAGGCGACGAUCCGUAACUGGUCUGAGAGGAUGAUCAGUCACACUGGAACUGAGACACGGUCCAGACUCCUACGGGAGGCAGCAGUGGGGAAUAUUGGACAAUGGGCGAAAGCCUGAUCCAGCCAUGCCGCGUGUGUGAAGAAGGUCUUCGGAUUGUAAAGCACUUUAAGUUGGGAGGAAGGGCAGUCAGUUAAUACCUGGUUGUUUUGACGUUACCAACAGAAUAAGCACCGGCUAACUUCGUGCCAGCAGCCGCGGUAAUACGAAGGGUGCAAGCGUUAAUCGGAAUUACUGGGCGUAAAGCGCGCGUAGGUGGUUCAGCAAGUUGGAGGUGAAAUCCCCGGGCUCAACCUGGGAACUGCCUCCAAAACUACUGAGCUAGAGUACGGUAGAGGGUGGUGGAAUUUCCUGUGUAGCGGUGAAAUGCGUAGAUAUAGGAAGG
rnacentral:rRNA from 1 species